UAUAUAUAUAUAUAUAUAUAUAUAUAUAUAUAUAUAUACACAGAGAGAGAGAGAGAGAGAGAGAGACUAGCUGCUAUACUAUCGGUAGCACAAAGGCUUCCGUGCUGCCAAGUUGUUUUCGAUUAUACGGCUUCCAAAUCGACGAUCGGCUCCGGUAGACUUGAUUUACACUAGUGAAAGUAUUUGAAAACUAAAUUUCAGAUUUUUUCAACAUCAUUUGACUAGUGAUCAAAAGAUCUCAAAAUUGACAAUUUUAAUGGUCGAUGUGGUGUGUUUGUAAGUUUAACGGUGUAAAACAAUUCAAAUCCGAUAAAAAUUUUAUAGAAAUUUUUUUUUACUAUUUAGAGUAAGAUCAGUAUAUCUCAUCUUAAAUUUAAAUCUUUUAUCAUCAUUUUUUAUGAGAUUUUUAUUUUUAGCCGUUCAAUUUUAGAUUACUUGUUUGAUAGGUAAAUAAUAUCGAAAAAUUAUGAAAUUUAGUUUCUAAAUACUUUUAAUAGUGUAGAUCAAGUCUAAUAGAGUCGAUCGUCGAUUUGUAAGCCGCAUCAUCGAAAACAAAGCCGGACUAUAUAUAUAUAUAGAGAGAGAGAGAGAGAGAGAGAGAGACUAUUAUAUUGUUAAUAGUAUCAAGCAUUUUGUGCUAUUAGAUUUUCAGCCUUUGAAUGAAGGGGCGUGCGUUUAAGAUAAUAAUGAUUCUUUAGAACUGAAUAGGUGGUUGGUUGAAUAGUAUAAUCUAACAGGUAAAAGUAGUCAAAGAGAUAGAUCUAACAGUAGAAAACUCGAUAGCACCAAAUAUUUAGUACUAUCAAUUAAUAGUAUAACAGUCGGACUAUAUAUAAAUAUAUAAUUUUUUUUUAAGCUUAAUACGUGGCAAAAGUAAUAAUUAAAGCGAAGCCAAUUAUAAUUCAGGCCACCAAUUUUUACGUAAUUUAUUUUUUAUCGAACAAAUACUAGAACUAAAAAAAAGUUCAACUCUACAACUAUAGAAAUAAAUACUAAAAAAAUAUAAUAUUGUUGAAAUUUUAAUAUAACUAAUAAAUCUAUUUUAAUCUAAAUUUUAGUUUACAUGCCCAUAAUAUUUUUUUUUUUUUGAAAGAGNUUACUUAGAAAUAUGUAUAAUUAAUUAAUUAUAUAUAAUAAUACUAUUUAAUAUAUACUAAUAUGGAAUUAAAUAUUUUGUUAAUAUAUAAUAUAUUCUCAUAUAUAUAUAUAUAUAUAUAUAUAUAUAUAUAUAUAUUAUUUAAUUUGCAGUUAGGUACUGCGUAGCCAAUAUAUUGUACGUCGCACGAAUAUAAAAGCAUGUAAUGUCGCACAUAAAGGGGCUCUAUAUAUAUAUAUAUAUAUAUAUAUAUUAUAUUAUAUAAUAUACUAAAUAUAAAUAGUGAUAUAAAACAAAGCGGAAGCGGGCAGGAACAUCGUACGUACCCGCAUGUACACGCGGUUGGGCGAGGGAGAUCACACGGCCCACAAUGGCGGCGUGUUGAUGGACGGCUCUGAUGAAAAGGGAGUUAUUGCACAACCGGAUAGCUACGCCGAGUACGGUCACCGUGCCGCGUGUGUUACCGCACGUCAACGGAGGUUGGGAUGUCUAAACGGCGGAAUUGCAUGGAGACCCUUCAACCGCUUUGCGUUUUCGCAAAGGCCCUUAAACUUUAUUUUAGAUUUUAAUUGAGGCCCUCUAGAUUUUUUAAUUUAAAAUUUAAUAAUUAUAGCUAAUUAAAUAAAAAAUUAACAGACCUGUUGAUAAUCUGAUUUUAUAUUUUUUUAGCAAAAAAACUAGAUAAACUUAGCGGCUAAAAGUAUUUAAACUAUUAAAUUUAAUAAAAUUUCUAAAUUUACAAAGGAUAAUGAAAGCCAAGACAAUUUUAAUAAAAGAAAGGUCAAAAAGUAUGGAGACCAUUUUGAUAUAGCCCAUCAGCUUUUUUUUUUUUNUUAAUUAAAAAAUUUAUUAAAAUAAUGAUUUUACUAGGACUUGAGUAAAAAAAAAUCAGAAUUAUUAAUUUUGAUUAAAAUUUAAUAAAUUUGAUAAAAUUUGUUUUUUGAGAAUUAUUGAUACCAAAAUUGAGCCGACCUAACCCACGUAUGAACCAAUAAGGACACGUGGUACACCAGGAGUCGGCAAUAAGGCGCCUAAAGGACAAGAAGGCGGGAACGGUUGAAGAUUGGGGCGUAACUUUCAUGAGGAGUUAGCGUAACUUUCAUGAGGAGUUAGUAUAACUUCCACGAUCAUGGUUACAACCACUCCCCCCCAACUACUUUCAACCAACUAAUAAUGUAGGCUAUAAAUAGUAACUUUGAAGCCUGCAAUAAGGGUCUUCGCCCCUGCGCACAAAAGACCACCCUUAUUUCCUCUGCAUUUUAUUGCUUUUCUAGAAGUAGUCUAAAUGUAAUUUUUUUCUUUUCCGCAUUUACUGCUUUUCUGGAAGUAGUUCGCUAAGUAGAUCUUUGGAGUUUGUCUGCCCCAUGGGCAUCACUCCCUUAUAGAAUAUACUUGGAGUCUGUCUGCCCUAUGGGCAUCACUCUCUUGUAGAAUGUACUUGGAGUCUGUCUGCCCUACGGGCAUCAUUCCCCUGUUUGUGUACUUUUUCCUUUUGCUAUUCAAUAGAAAGUCAUUUUCGGCUCUUCCUGCCGAUCAGAUCACAAGUUGUUUGGCCAUUCGGCUCGUUUCUUAGUCGAAUUCUGGGCUUCCCUUCUCCAUUCGGCUCAUUCUGCCGAAGUGACUCUACUGCAAAGGUUUUCGAACCCGGUUGAUUCGAUUCCUCAUUGGCCUAAUCGCUUGAUCCUCUGUGGGAGCAUACUUCGAGGGUCGUAAUCCGCAGCCGUCUCGCAUCUCGACGAUCUUCCCGAUGAGUGUAUUUUGACCUAGUCAAGGGUCGGGACUUUCGGCCACCAACAAAUUUUGGCACGCCCGGUGGGACAUAUUUUUAGGUAAAUUUAUAAUUUAUGCCUGAUGAUCUACGUAAUAGGGUUGUUUCUAGAAAUUCUGGGAGUGAUCAACCUAUUGAUUCAGACAAUGCUGGCGAAUGUCAAGUAGUUUUGCCAGUUGAAGGAGAAACUAGUGGACAGUCGGCUCAUCAAGAGCCGAGUCUAACUCAGGCACUCGGCCAGAUGAGCCGAGUCCUGCAAACUUUAGAUCAAAAUAUCCAUCAAAGUACCGCUCGACUAGACGCAGUGCUGGUCGCUAUCACGGCCUAUAAUGAAAAUAUUGCACGAAUAGGACAAUUAUUGACUCGAAAUGAGCAACCAAUGACAGACUUACAAAGGCCUAUGAUGACACCAGUGUUGCAAAAUCCUGCGACAUCGGUAAAUGGACAGCCCCAAUACUGGGGGGCACCAUUCCAAGCGGUUUACAGAUCGGUCGUCGUCAAUACCGAUCAACAGCCGAAAAUUACAUAGGGAUUGCCACCACCUCCGCCGAUGGCAGCAUACCAAUCCCAAAAUUUAGGGGCUAGAGCUGGGGGGCAAGCCCCUAAUGAUAUGCAAGGAGCGAACUCUGUAAUACAGAAUUCUGGAGUUCCUCAAGGGCCAAAUUCGGCUCAAGCACAAGCUCCGCUGUAUGCUCAGAUUGAGGAAGUCAUUCAGAAUACCUUCGGAGUAGGGGCCAGGCCAGCUAUGCGGCCUGUUUUUCGAUCCCCGUAUCCAGCAAACAUAGAUACAGAGCAUCCGUAUCUGGCAAACUGGAAAAUGCCGAAGUUCGACAAGUUCUCGGGCGAUAAGACCGAGAAUACGGUUGAGCAUAUAGCCCGGUUCACGGCCCAAUGUAGAGAAGCGGCCGCUAACUCAUUUUUGAAACUUCGAUUAUUUAAUACGUCGUUAACUAAAACGGCGUUUACUUGGUAUACAAGUUUAUCAGCCUAUUCCGUCCAAGAUUGGGAUGAAUUGGAAAGAAAAUUUCAUAAGCGAUUCUAUAGAUCGGAGCCACAAUUAUCGGUCGCCGACUUGGCUUUAUACCGACAAAUGUCAGGUGAAACGGUCGAAGAGUAUUUGGACCGUUUCAAAAUAGCCAAAACCCGGUGCUUUAUGAGAAUGCCGGAAUCAGAGUUUGCCAAAAUGGCGUUAAAUGGUCUACAUUUUAAGAUAAAAGACUAUUUUGAAGAUAAGUAUUUUUCUAACCUAUUUGAUCUAGGUGUUCGAGUUACCUAAUACGAGCAAUUUCAGAAGAAAAGUGAGGACGAUCGGCUACAAUUGAGCCGAUAUAAAAAUCAAAGCAAAGGCAAGGAGAAAUCCUUGCUAGAAGAACAGUCGGUUCAAGAAGAGCCGAGCCAAUCGAGUGAAAGUGAAGAAUCGGCUGAUGAAGCCGAGAUAUAGCCACUUCCUUUAAGAAGAAUUUCCUGAUAGAAAAGCAUUCGGUUCAAGAAGGGCCGAACUAAAGUAAAGAAUCGGCUGAUGAAGCCGAGACAUAUGUGGCUGGGAUGAUAAAGCGUCGUUUUCCUAAAGCCGACCAAGACCAGCGAAACUAAAGCUUGGGUCUCGGCUGUGCUUUUGAACAGUCGAUUUGGCACCAAUAGUCAUCCGAAUGUUCAUUCGAAAGACUAUUGGGGGGGUAUUGUUGAUACCAAAAUUGAGCUGACCUAACCCACGUAUGAGCCAAUAAGGACACGUGGUACACCAGGAGUCGGCAAUAAGGGCCUAAAGGACAAGAAGGCAGGAACGGUUGAAGAUUGGGGUGUAACUUUCAUGAGGAGUUAGCAUAACUUCCAUGAGGAGUUAGUAUAACUUUCAUGAUCAUGGUUACAACCACUCGCCCCCAACUACUUUCAACCAACUAAUAAUGUAGGCUAUAAAUAGUAACUUUGAAGCCUGCAAUAAGGGUCUUCGCCCCUGCGCACAGAAGACCACCCUUAUUUCCUCUGCAUUUUAUCGCUUUUCUAUGAGUAGUCUAAAUGUAAUUUUUUUCUUUUCCGCAUUUACUGUUUUUCUGGAAGUAGUUCGCUAAGUAGAUCUUUGGAGUCUGUCUGCCCCAUGGGCAUCACUCCCUUAUAGAAUAUACUUGGAGUCUGUCUGUCCCAUGGGCAUUACUCUCUUGUAGAAUGUACUUGGAGUCUGUCUGCCCUACGGGCAUCAUUCCUCUGUUUGUGUACUUUUUUCUUUUGCUAUUCAAUAGAAAGUCAUCUUCGGCUCUUCCUGCCGAUCAGUUCACAAGUUGUUUGGCCAUUCGGCUCGUUUCUUAGUCGAAUUCUAGGCUUUCUUUCUCUAUUCGGCUCAUUCUGCCGAAGUGAUUCUACUGCAAAAGUUUUCGAACCCGGUUGAUUCGAUUCCUCAUCGGCCUAAUCGCUUGAUCCUCUGUGGGCGCAUACUUCGAGGGUCGUAAUCCGCAGCCGUCUCGCAUCCCGACGAUCUUCCCGAGGAGUGUAUUCUGACCUAGUCAAGGGUCGGGACUUUCGGCCACCAACAAGAAUAAUAAAAUUUCUAAUUUAAUAAAAAUGUUAUAUAAAAGGAAUUAAAAUUUAAGGAGUCAUGUUCAAUUGUAAUAUAGGUGAAGGGUGUUGUCAUAAAUUGUUACCUAACUUACUCGAUUUGAGGUAUCAAUCGAAUUAAAAACCGGUUUCGGGUCAAAUUCUGGAAAGGGAAAUAACAGCUCACUCCCGAAUUCGGUUUCAAAUUUCCGUGUCCUCCGUGCGUAGAAAUUUUCGACCCCACUUCGUAACUCCCAACGGCUGCGUCAGGAGGGAAACGGAAAAGCGGAAACGGGAAACGGUUCCGCAAGCGAAGAUGCGUUUCCGAAGUGGAGGGCGAGAGUCGCUCCGCUACUCGAGAAGCGGGGGAGGUCGCAGAUAUUAUUCGAGUGUGCGGGUGUGGAUACACCCGGUGCACCGCGCGCCACACGUUUAUAAUUAGUUUGUGCAUUUUUAUUCUCUGUAUAUACGAGUUUUUUAAUUCUCCACUGAUUGUAGCAGUUUUUCAAUUUUUGUUAUUUAUCUGGAUAUAUAUAUUUUGUUUUAGGAAUGUAAUUAUACUGUUUGCAUUUACUUCUAAUAUAUAUACUAUUAGUUGCGUAUAAAAUUAAAUUUCAUAUCUGUUUUAUAAAAUUAAAUAACAUGUUUAUUCUAUAAUUUUUAAAAUUAUUUGGCAUAUAUUGAUAUUGCCUCUAUAUUGUCAAACAUCAAAAAAAAAAUCUGUAAUUUUAAGUAUAAAAUAAAUCCGAACUUAAAAAAUCAAAUUUUAAAUUAAACUACACACAUACGAAGGAACCGACCGUCCCUAAUGCAAAUGGCAAAGAACUUGAUGGUGGGUAACUAAGGUCCCAAGUUCAAAUCUUAACUGAUUCACAUUUCCAGCUCAAUUUAUUUUUUUUAAAAAAUAAACGAAACUGAAAAGUUCAAAUCCUAACUGAUUCACAUUUAAAUAAACGAAACGGAAGCCGUAGCAUACUACCUCUUAUGUUUUAGUGGUGGAUUUUAUAUGUGGAUUUUUUUUCGGAUAGUAUGCUAUUUUUAUCUUAAAAAAAAACAUUCUUAUGAUAUUUUAGUGGUGGGUUUUUAUAUGUAGAUUUUUUUUUUAAAAAAAAGACAUUUUAGAUUAGAAAUUUUUUAGCGAAAUAUCAAGAGUGGUGUACGAGAUGCAAGUAGAUACACCGGGUUCAGGUAGUAUUUUCGAAGUUAGUAGAACAGAGGAAGAGAAGAGUGUUUACCGGCUGUAUGUGGAGUCGGGACUCGGGAGUGAUUGGACGACGCGUGUGCAGUUGCCAGCUGUAUGCAAGCAACCGCCCCCCUGGCACCGGUCGCCCCUUUUACCGGCUGCUCCCGGUCACCCAUCCCCGCUCCCUCUCUUAUUUAACCUCCCCCCGCACCCGCUCCUCAACGCCCCCCAUUCCCCUCUCGUCUCCCUCCUCCCUCGGCUCGUUCGGAACCAAAAAAAAAAAAAAAAAAAAAAAAAAAAAAAAAAAAAAAAAAAAAGAAGCAAAAGGAAAAAAUUAGGGUUAGGGUUUGGGGUUUUUUUUGUUUUUUUUUUUGUAUACGAACCGGUUGGAUUCGAUCGCGGUGGAAGUGGGUUUAGGGUUAGGGUUUUUGGGUAUGGCGGGGGGGACGGGGAGCAGGAGCAAGGAGGCGAUGAUGGCGAUGGAUCGGAUCAAGGGGCCGUGGAGCCCGGAGGAGGACGAGCUGCUGCAGCGGCUGGUGCAGGAGCACGGGGCGAGGAACUGGUCGCUGAUCAGCAAAUCCAUACCUGGGAGGUCGGGGAAGUCGUGCCGGUUGCGGUGGUGCAACCAGCUCUCGCCGCAGGUGGAGCACCGCCCCUUCACGCCCGAGGAGGACGAGACCAUCCUCCGCGCCCACCACCACCACGGCAACAAGUGGGCCACCAUCGCCCGCCUCCUCUCCGGCCGCACCGACAACGCCGUCAAGAACCACUGGAACUCCACCCUCAAGCGCAAGCUCUCCCCCUCCGACGAUCGCCGCUCCGCCGGCGCCGGAGCCGCCGCGGCGGAUAGGGACGAGGCGGCGGCGCGGCCGCUGAAGCGCGCGAGCAGCGUCGGGCCCGUGCUCUCCUCGGGCCUCUGCUUCAGCCCCGGGAGCCCCGCGGGGUCCGACCUCAGCGACUCGAGCCACCACAGCCAUCCCGCCGCCGCGCAGCUCUACCGCGCCUCCACCGCGCCCUCCGCCUCCCUCCACCCGAUCGCCGCCGCCGCCGACGACCCCGCCACCUCCCUCACCCUCAGCCUUCCCGGCUCCUACCAGGGCGACGCCGCGCCGGCGCCGUCGCCGGCGCCGGCGCCGCCUCCGCCGAGCGCCGCAGCCGCGACGGAGUCGCCGUCGCCGUCGCCGUCGCCUUUCCAGUUCAGCUCCGAGUUCGUCUCGCUGAUGCAGGAGAUGAUCCGCGACGAGGUGCGGAGCUACAUGCUCGGCCUCGAGAAUAGCGGCGCCGCCGCGAAGCGGAUCGGCGUCGCGAAGUUCGACUAGGGCUAGGGUUUCGAAGAAACGAAGAAGGAGGAGGCACGAUGUGCAGUAGAGGACGGCUUCUACCUUAUAUCUCUUAUUAGGAUUUUUUUUUUUUUUUUCCCGUUUAUUUAAGUCUCUUCUCAAUCAAUCUCCUCUUCUCUUUCCCUCUCCUCCUUCAGGGAGUUCAAAAUUUCUUCUCACAACACCAAUAAGUUGGUUGGUUUGUUUUUUGUACAGAAGAGAAAUCUAGAGAUCGCUCGGAUCUAACAAAAAAAAAGAAAAAAGAAGAGAAACUAUUUGAUGCAAUUUGUUUUUCUUUCAUCUUGUAGGUUGUGUUUGUGUGUUCUUCUUAAGUUAUUAUUCCUUCUCUUUUUCUCUACUUGUUUCAAAUUUUUUAUUUUAAAAAUUCCCAGUUGCUCCAACGUUAAAAAUUUGAAACGGUUGGGGUAGGGGAGAAAGAGAUCGAUCGAACUCGGGGGGAACUGUUAUGAGGUGAUGAGUAAGCGACAGCUAAUAACUGAUUCAGUUUUCGACGGUAUUUAUAUUCUUGGUAAGGGUGUGUGUUGGUACUACCAAACAAGUGCCCAAUAACGUCCCCACUAACCGAAAAUGGUCUUAUUAUUAUUAACUAUUAAUUAAUCAUUAUUAAUAAUAAUUUUGUGUUCAUGGGGGAGGUCACUGGUCACCAUCCGUGCUGAGGCUAAAGAGAUUCAUGGUUAUCGCCUCGUAAUGAUCGUAAACCACUGCUUGGAACGGGUCCACCACCUCACCCAUGGAAAUUAUUUGCCUUUUUCCAACAGUUUAACUGUAAUUAAUUUUAUCAAAGGGUCUCUUAACAUAAAAAAAGAAGAAUAAAAUUAUGUGCUAUUCCCUGUUGUUUUACUAGCAUUAAUAACUCGGGCGCAUCUGACCUGGUGGACCGGGUCCAUCCAACGAACUCGGCGUAACGACCCCCCCCCCCCCCCNAAAGCUCCGGGAUUAGCGAACGGUCUCAUUAUACUGAAAUGGACCGACGCGGUCGCUGCUGGUUUUUAUUUAAUUUUUCUCCUUUUUUUUUUAAUUUUAUCUUAUAAUGAUUUUGGGUUGGAUCGUAAAUUCGGAGAGAGAGAGAGAGAGAGAGAGAGAGAGAGAGAGAGAGAAAAAAGCGAGCGAUAUGUCGUUUGCAUGCCAGCUGUGUUCAAAAAAGGCGCUUCUUUUGGAUCCCCUUUCAAAUCCCCCAUUUCAUCCAUAUGCGAAUAAGCAAAAGCGUGUAUCACAUGUUUGGGACCUCGCUUUUUUUCGACCAUAAAUAUUUAAUUAAUAUUAUUAUUUAGCUUAUUAAAAUUUCAUCCUCACUUGAAAAUUAUAUUUUUCAAAAUAGCAUAAUUGAUUUCGUCGCGCUCCAACUUUGACGCUAUUCUAAGGAUUUAAGUAAUGCGAUAUGGGAUCCUGCCAAUAAUUUGUCGGUACGGUGCGUGCCGAACCGUGCCGAUUAGGAAUGUCAAUCGAUACGAACAUCCAAAGUUUUAUUCGAACCCGAAUCUGAACGGAGCGAAUUUAUCGGAUGCUAAAUGGAUAUGGUUUCGGAUAUGGAUAUCAAAAAUAAAAACUCGGCGGAUAUGAAUACAGAUAUAAAUUUUGACUGUACCCGAUCCGAACCCGACUUUAUUUUAUAUUAUAUAUAAUAUGUAUAUCAAAAUUUGAUAUUAUAUUUACAUUUAUAUUUUAAAAUUUUAAAUUUAAUAUAAUAUAUUUUGAAAUAUUGAAAAGAUAAAUAAUUGCUUCGGGUUCGGAUUUCGGGUUCGGGUUUUUGGUCGAGUUUGAAUUUGGAUAUGGAUUUUUAAAAUAUCCGCUCCGAAUCCGACCCGUUGACAUUCCUAGUACCGAUGCGUUUCGAUAACAAAAAAUUUAUGUGUGUUGACACAUAAUAAUAUGAAAUAUUUAUUUUCUUUAGCAACAAAAUAUUUUAACUGUUUAUUAUAUAUUUUAAUUAAAUAUUUUAAAUUUUAUUAAAAAAUUAAUUACUAAUUUAAAUAAUAGAGUGUUUUGAGAUAUGCCAUCGGUACGGAGGUUGUAUUGUACCAAUAUUUUAUUGACACGAUAUGUCACGGUAGAUGCGGCUCAUGUCGAUUGGCGCUUAAAUUCUUGCGCUGUUCACUUUUAACUAAACAAAAAACUAUAUAAAUAAACAAUAGAUGAAAAAUAAUUUACACCUAAGUUGUAGUUAACGCAUAAGUCUACUACAAACAGGCUUUGGCUUUGAAAAUAAAACAAAAUAAAAUUUGUUUUGAUCGUUGCAUACUUAUUUUUUAUUUUUUUAAUUCACUAUAAAUUUACUUUGUUUGUAAUUCUACUUUUCUUAGACAUCAGAAUUAAGUUUGCCAAAGAAUAACAAAAUUUUCUAUUGUAAUUUUUUUUUAAUCUUUUUAUUUACUAGUGUAAAUAUUUUUAGUAAACUAGAUACAAUAUGUGGAAUAGUUAUAGUUUCAAAGCUAUUGAUUUUCAAAUAAAUAAGGAUAUAAAAUAGUUUUUUUUGUUGUAAUAAUUAUUUCAAUUAAAGAACAAAUAACACCCUCAAAUUACAAAAAAUUGUAGUGUGUGUAUAUAUAUAUAUUCAUACAUAUAUCCAUCCAUCAAACAUUUAAAUAUCAUGAACAUUCUUGUAAAGCUAGAAAUAUGAUCAAAUAUUUAUACUGAAAUAACAUAAUCCGAUUUUCGAGUCAUGUUUUUGACAAUAAGAUAAAUCAAUUUUUAAGUAAAACACACUAUCCUAUCAAAUUAUUGAUGUUGAGGUUUUUAAGGAGCAAAUGUCAAACUCUUAGCUCUCAAUUACGAGAGAAAAAUCUUAUUGUUGUAUUAGUUAUCAUCAGAUAACAAAUUUCGAUAUCUAAAAAGGUCCAAGUUGGGAGAAAAUUUAGUGUGUCAUAUUUACACCACAUCAGUAAUAACAAUUCAAUCAUAUCUCUUCUUUUAGAAAAAAAGUAUAACAAAAAUAAUUUUUUAUAAUUAUGAUGUGACAUAUUAACCCAAAAGAAUCUUUUUGAUUGGUUGAGAACAUCAUAUCACAUCACCAAUAUAAUUGGUGCAUUCUAAAAUUUUUCCUAAGUUAGAUAAUGGUGCAAUUUACUCUCUCCAAACUUAAGGAAGUGGAGUUUGUGUUUCCAAGUAGAUCUCAGAUGGGCCUGAGCUAAAUCGGUCCGAUACAAGUGAGGAGAGGUCCAGCCCAAUAAAUCAGGUUGGUCUGGGCCUGAACGGUGGGGCUCGUUUGGUAUCGAGAUCUAUUUAAUGCUAAUAAAAAAACAAAGAGUCAGAUCGAAAGCAUAUGCUAAUAUGUUUCUGAGUUCGUCGGUGCGGAAAAUACAUGAAAUAUAUAGUAAUCGACUCAUUAUAAUAUGCAGAACGCGAUAUUAUACACGAAAAGAAACAAUAUGUUUUGUUCUUUUCCACGAAACUUUUAUUUACUUUGUAAAGUUUGAUCCACCUGGGGCGAAAUUUUAUGAGCUUUGUUUCGGGCCGGGUCGACAUGGCCUGAGUAAAUUUGCCGUGGAUUUGAGCCUGGCCUGGCACGGAUUUUGUUCAGGUCCAAACUUGAGUCGUGGGUGUACCUUUCGGUCCGUUCCUAUUACCCUUCUAGAGGAAAAUUUAUUGAAUGCACCCGGUGUACAUAUGUGCACUCCAAUAUAAUUCAAUAAACGUGACAUAAAAUAUCUAAAGAGAUUCUAUUAAAAAUUUAGUGAUUCAGGCUUAGUUUGGUAUUAAGUCCUAUCUAACGCUAUUAGAUAAAAUGAAGUUAAGGAAAAAGCAUAUAGGAAUAUGUUUUUGCAUUAUCCGGUGGGAUCGUAGAAAAUAUAUCGUAACUGACUCACCACGAUAUGCGGAACGUAAUAUUAAUUAUGUAAACAAACAGAGUAUUUUUUCAACGUACUUUCUCACAGCACGUAAUACAAUCAUUAAAAAUUUGAUGAUUUAAAGCCUCAACUAAAGGAAAAAGAAAGAAAGAAUUUGAUUCAUGAAAAAUUAGUAUUUGAGAAUAAUUGUGUCUUUUAUUAUUAAUAAUAUAUAAUAUAGGAUUAUUAAAUUUUUGUGACUAUAUUUUAGAAUUUAAGGAGAAAGUAUUUUCUGUCACAGUUGUCCUACGCUGAAAUAAUAAUAUUCAAUCAAAAUGCCUAUAUAUUGCAUAAAAGUAUGGAGGUAAAUAUUUCUAAAAUAUUAUGUUAAUGUAAAAUUAUUAUAUUUUUUUUAAAUUAGAUUUUUUUUAACUAUCUCGUAUGGCACAACAUAAUUAUUUUAAUGUAUAUUCUAUGUGGUGCAUUAGUUAUAUAAUAAUAUAAUAAAAUUUUUUCAAAUUCGAGAUCUUAUACUAGAAAGUUUUUUUUUUUAUAGUAGUUAUUUAAUAAAUAUAUAUAAUGAUAUUUAAUCAAAGACAUUAUCAUCAUACAACAGUACAAUAAUUUUUUUUAACAUCGUUUUGAUAUAAAAUUAUUAUUUUACUUCUGAUUAGACUCAUUUUCAUUGAAGUAUAUCCUACAUGGUAUAACUGUUAAAAACUCUUUCAAAAUUUGAGCCCUCGCUCGGGAGGAAGUCUACUAUAUAGCAGUACACCACAUCAUCUACAUUUAGUCAAUUAUAUUUUUUAUUUUGAUAUAAAAAUAUAAAAAAAUAAUUUUUUUUAAAAUCAUAAUGAGAUGAGUUCAACUCUAAAAAAAUAAUUUAAUCAAUUGGAGAGGCCACGUCCUCAGUGUGACCGCUGCAUUUUAGAUUUUUUUUUGGCCCAUAUUAUUUGUGGGGAUUUAAACUAGCGGUGUAUACGCUGUGGUUAUGCACCGGGUGCAGGCAAUUGUUUCAAUAUUCUAGAAAAAGAAAUUGAGGAAGGCCUUCCCCUAUUCUUCAGCUUUCUUCCUUUUCUUUAUUUCCCCUCCUUCAAGUUCGAGUGCAGACUGCCCACCCCUUAUUCAAGUUCGAGUGCGGACUGCCCACUUCUCGCUUCUCUCUGCGGCCGCCGCCGUCUCAGGUCAUUAUUUUUAUUAGUUUUAUAUUUUUCUUUUUCUCAAAAAAUGUAAUUAGACACCCUCAGACUAUUUCGAAAUAGUUCUCUCAACUCCAUAUUUUUGGAUCGACCCCUCCCCAAACUGCUUGCUUUUCUGAGUUCUUAUGCUUCAUUAAAUUGAAAAUUUUUGUUUCCUUGAGUGCUGUAGAUUUAUUUGCUAGAAAAAGUUUAGCUGAAUCAAUGUUGAAUUUAAUAAAAUCCUUAGUUUAACUGAAUAAAAUCAUACAAAUCAAAAGAAAAAAAAAAGUUUGGGGCAAUUUCAAAAUUUGCCUAAAUCCAACAAAAUCCAUGUGUGUGGAUUCACCAGAAGAUUUUUUUUUUUAAUUCUUUUUUUCACUCUCAGUUGGUAAAAGAUUGCAUAUGAAAGGACAUACUACAAACCCAGCUACUUGAAUAGGCGAAAUUAAGCCUGCAUAUCUCCAAAUUUGAAAGGAAUAGUUAGCAAUUAUAAAUGGUAGAUUCUUGAGAGAAGCACACAACAAAUGUUCAUACAGUUUAUGCGCCGUGCAAUUUAACCGCUUGUUGACGAAGUUCUCUUUAUUUUCACAGGCUUGGUGGAAGUAAUGGCCAGGCUCAAGGGGCUUCCUGGGUUUCUUGAAUCAAUUACUCGGGGAAGAUUUCGUCAGGUUACGAUACUUUUCUUCUUUUCAGCACUCUUUCAUAUGUUUUAGUGCGGUCGGUUAUUGAUUUAUGGCGAUCGCUCUGUGUCAUAUUAGGCAUGGUUUUAAUUCCAUCAUCCCAAAGCUUUUAGGCUACGGUGCCGCAACUACAAUGGACCUAGUUUCAGCUGUUUUUAAAUUUCCUUAAAAGUUUUUCUCUUUUCCUCCUUAUAUACGGUGAAUUUCUGAUGACUUUGAGUCUGUUAAAUUAUAUGUAACAAUUAUUUUUCUUUAAAAGAUUAAGCUAUCAGAGAAGGAUGUUUUUAUAUUUUUAUAUUCAAUACUUCCCCUCAUGUUGGGGCUCAAAAUAUUUUGAUAGAGCAAGACAUGGGCUUAAAUGGGAGAAAAGUAAAUAACGCCAGGAGUUUGGAGAAACUUCAACUCAGGAUCUUGUACUCUGAUACCAUAUUAAGCUUUUGGAGAACAGAGGUUUAUGAGCAGGUGCUCAGCAUGCCGGGAGAUUUUUGAUAGUAACGGUAACAUAGGAAUUAUUUACUAACAUAUCUCACUCCCUUGAAGACUUUUAUUGAACGAUUUAUUGGACUUUAAUAUUCUCCAAUUUGGCAGCUUGUUGGUUUCUUUGAUAUGUUUUGCAUUAUGUUUCCCAAUAAUUUCACAGAUCUUUCCACUCAAUAUGUGAGGUCUAUUUGUGAAUGACUAGUUUUCGGUGCUUUUAUCAACCCUUACUAUUGUCAGCUGUUCGUAAACAAGAGCUGGUCCUUAUGCACCACCGUUCAUGUGUUACAGGUUAUACCUUUGUCAGCUUCUGGCGGUUCUUCAACUAAAUAUUUUCGAUAUUUAACCGUUUCUGCUGCAACUUCAGAACAAAGCAAUGCGAGAACGCCGCCAACGGUAGAUUCCAAUGAUGCAAAACAGACGGGAGAGUCUGAUAAGACAGAAUCUGAUAAAAAGCCUGUUCGCGGAGGGGUAUGAAUAUAACACGCCUAAUCUAAGUGAGAGAUCUUCUGUGACAAGUGAGACAUGAUGUGUCGCUUCUAAUUGCUCUAGCUGCUCCAGUGGCUAUAUGAAAUGUUACAAGAAGCCAUUGACUUAUGGAGCAUUAUAUUUACAUAACUCUACCUUGUGAGAACCUCUUUUCAUGGUUCUAAUAUGUGUUCGUAGCAUUGGUGAUCCGCGAGUGUGUCCUUUAGUUGUAAAUGCCUGUGAAUCCCACCCUGCCAUCUCAUUUAGGAUAUGGAUUGGAUAAAUUAUGGAGAAUCGAAGAUAUAAGUUGUAUCUGGAGAAGAGGCAGCUCGUUCCUGUUCCUUUCUUCUAUCUUUUUUUUUUUCCGUUACGCUAAUUGCCUUCUUCUCGCUGCUGGAGGUGUAUACAAUUCCUUUAUCAUUUUUUGUUGAUGGUAGAUAAAUUUAUUUGUAUGGUUGGGAAACAUAAUUCUUAUUGUUGUCAUCUUAUUAGUAGAAGAUAAUGAUUUUAUGUACUUAAUGCCUAAUGCAUAUUCUUCUUUGCUGCGAGUCUCUUUUCUUUUCUCUCUGAUCAUUAGCUAUUUGGACGUAUUUUUGUAGCAAAUCUUUUGAUACAUUCGAACAUCUACAAGUCUUCAGCUUUUAGCACCUAUAUGCCUCCUUAUGUUUUUGCCUACUAUGCAUGCUCAUAUGAUUCCUUGGAUGCCAAAAUGCUUGCUUAGUUACUAUGAUUAGAUUUCCGGUCAAUUAAAUUUGGAGGAUUAUUUUUCCUUAAAUCUCAACCGAUCAGUUGGGCUUAUGUUGCAGCCUGUGUCAUGGUUGAGCCUUGUUUUGCUUGUUCUGACUGGAGGGGGACUACUUGUUUAUUACGACAGAGAAAAGAAACGGCACAUCGAAGGUAGAUUACUUGUUGACAGGAAUUCAUUACGAACACAUUAUUGUUGAAUCCUUUUUUCUCCGUACUUUUAUCUAUUAAUGCCGGGUCCCGUAUUUCCAGAAUUGAAGGCGAGAUCAAGCGUGGUGAAGCCCGGACCGUCCGUAGGCACUGCUGCUAUUGGCGGUCCAUUUAAGCUUGUGAACCACGUCGGAAAACCUGUCACCGAAAAGGACUUUCUUGGGAAGUGGACGCUGAUUUAUUUUGGUUUCACCCACUGCCCUGACAUUUGUCCUGAUGAACUCCAAAAAAUGGCUGCUGCUGUUGAUAAGAUUAGUAAGUCGCUCACCCCUGCUGUUCUUUGAUGGAGCUAUAAGUUUUUCUGGACUUCAGAAAGUGCGGAGAAAAGUUUUUUUUUGAGAGAAAGGUAGCAGGCUACCCGCUUCGUUUACUUCAUUUAGAAACAAACUAAGCUGGAAAUGUGAAUCAACUAGGAUUCGAACUUGGGUCUCGGGUACCAACCACCAAACCCUUUUGCCACUUGCGCUACGGACGGUCGGUUGCGGAGAAAAGUUAAUCCAUCUGAAGCAUGCGGUAUUCUUGUAAUCACCGGCAUAAAUAUGUCAGUCAAUUAUCACACAGGACUUGAGAGGAAAAACAAUAACAGAAACAUAAACAAUGCCGAAAUUGGCCUUCGUUUUCGAUAUUCAUUUACUGAAGCAGUUCAGCGUUUUGGAAUGUACGCGUUUGAAUAAACCUUGAAGGUUUAUUCUACACGCGUGGAGCUAGACCCCACCACCCACCCAUAUGAAUAGCGAAGCGAAGCCUUACCCAGAUCGAGAUGAGAAAGACAGGGCAAUUCCCAAGCAUCACCCACACAAAUGUUUAAUCGAAAGCUUUCUUUCUUUUCUCUUUAAUUCGUUCGACAUUUAAUAGUGUCACAAUGUGUCUUUCUCGUCCUGUUUCUUGCAGAAGAAAAGGCAAGGAUAGAAAUUGUACCUGUUUUUAUUUCAGUCGAUCCAGAGAGAGACACCGUUGAGCAGGUUCAUGAUUAUGUCAAAGGUGGUUUUUCAUCUUUUUAUUUUGGUAGCGGGAAUGCAACAUUUUUCUCUAGAUUCUCUUGAAUGUAAUGCUCAAAGUCAUCAUAUCACAUGGCAUUUUUACUUUAUUUUUUUACUUUAUUUUUUUAGGAUUAUGUUUGUGCACUUAAAUGACACUAUUUUAUUUGUUGCACUGUUGAAAAUAUUUUCUUUUCUCUUGCUAUGCAGAAUUUCAUCCAGAUUUAAUAGGAUUAACUGGCACACCGGAUGAGAUACGACAAGUGGCCCGUGCAUAUCGAGUUUAUUACAUGAAGACCGAGGAGGAGGACUCCGAUUAUCUUGUAGAUCACUCUAUUGUCAUGUACGUAAUCCGUAUACACUAAAUUUAUAUGAAUCACGAGCACGCAGCAGAUCAUCAAUGUGGGUUGUCGAGCAAUGAUUUUGUUUUCAUACAUGCACGAUUGAUAACAUUUUUUAAAAAAAAGUUUGAGCAGUAUUAUUUUUUUCUGAAUUUUCUUAUAUUUUCAGGUACCUGAUGAACCCCAAAAUGGACUUUGUUAAAUUCUUCGGCAAGAACUAUGAUGCAGAUGCACUCGCAGAAGGUAUUAUAAGAGAGAUAAAAGGAAGCAACUGAAUAGAUUUCUGAGGAUUUUUUUUUUCAAUCUUCGGCGGAGGUAUUCUUUGUUUCCUCCGAGUUUUUCUAUUCGUCAUUUAAUUUUCGAUGAUUUUAAUCGUUGCUACUGAUGCGAUGUUGGUGAUUAUCCUUUGUGAAAGUGUUGUUAUGUUCUGUAAAAUUUCACUUCCUGUUUCAGAAAAAUUUUGAUAGUUGAACUUGCAUUUCAGUCGAAAUUUUUUGCGUUCGAUUACUUACUGCUGUUACUGAGCGGAAGUUGACAGGUGAUUUUUCUAUUGAUUUGUAUCAGAUUUAUUGAAUAUGGUUGAAUUCAGUAUAUAACGAUAAAAUUUAAUAAAUCUAUUUGUCAAUAUAAAAGUCAAUUUUGGUACUUAACGCGGUUCCUUUCUAUAUAAUAAUCCAUCAAUUUCGUAGCGCUUGGAAUCCAUGGUGAAAUGCUCACGUUGCUGGGCUAAUGUGACAUUAUUUACACGUGCUAAUGGGACAUAUUUUUAUUAAAAUUCAUGUGUUUUUUUCCUUUUAUUUAUGUAACGUCGCCAUGAAUGCCAUGUUCAUGUGCAUUAAUACUCCGAAAAUAAAAUAAAAAGGAGUAUGAUGAUGUUAACAAAAGAAAAGAAAAAAAAAAAAAUCAAAGAAUGUGAUGUGCAUGAAUGCUGUGAGGCUAUCCUGCUUUAGGAUUUUUUUUUCUUUUUUCUUUUUUUUCUGGUAUAUGAAGGAAAAUUAAAUUUUACUAUCUUAAGAAUUGUCAGAUUUUUUUGAAAAUAUUCUUUUGCUUCCUAAGAUGUAGACUAAGGAUUUUUCGCUAUCAAUGUCGGAAAUUGUGUCCUCUUUAUUUUAUUUUAUUUUUUUCUUGAACUUAUGCAAAUACAGAGCUUUCAAUCUCUGACCUCCGUUGGCUGUCACAAUCUUAUAAUUAGGCAGUCACAAUCUUAUAAUUAGGCAAACGCUCUUCUGUGAAAAUGAGUAAAUUAGUAGUUCCUCUAUUUUUCGGGAUGACCACUAAAAUUAUAUCUUAACUGAUUUAUUACGCAAUAUUAAAUUGCAUGAAAUUUUAGAAAAAAAAUGCAUAAAACUUAUCGUAAUUAUUACCUAUUUGGAUUUGAGUGCCAAAUAUUAAAAAAAUUUGUGUUUACUAUCUAAUCUUGUAAAUUUGUUUGAUUCGAAUUAAUUAGUGAUUCUUUAAUUUUAAAUUUGAAUGUGUCGUUUAUUUUCAUAGGUUUAGUUAGUUUAUUUUAUAUGAUUUAUAAAUUUAUAAAUUUAUUAAAAUAAAAAAUUAAUGUAAAUUUUAUAUUCAACGAGCUAUCAAAAUAUUUAAAUUAAAUAAAUUAAAACAUUGGAUAAUAAAAUUGAAAAUUUGAAAGACUGGAUAGUUAAAUCAAAAUAAUCUACAGUUCAGUUAAAUUUUAUACACUUUUAUUUUUAUUUUUUAAAUUAUAUUUUAGCAUGUAUCGCAAUCUCCGAUAAUAUGGUUGACACUAAAUUAAUUUAAACAACCAAAAAUUCAAGUUUCAUGGACAAAUUUAAAGACAGUUGACUCGAGUUCAAGUCUAAGUCAAAACCCGAUUUGACAAUCAUUAGAGUUAGACUUCAUUUGGGAUUGAGAGUAUAUUGUAUUAUGUGCGGUAAAAAAAUACGAUAAAAAAAUAUUUUAUUUAUUUUCGUAUAUAAUAUUGCGUUCUGCAUAUUACGAUAUAUUUUCUGUGGUGCCACCGGAGAACGUAGAAGUAUACCCCUAUAUACUUUUAUCCUAAUUCUAUUUUAUCUAAUAGCGUUAGAUAAACCACAAUACUAAACUAAGCAUUAACCAAACCAAAAACGCAAGUUUUACACAACAUAUUAUGUUUGAAUCCGAAUCAGGUUUAAGUAACGCUUUAUAUAUCAUUUUAAAAUAAAGUACUUAAAUUUAAUAAUUCCGCUUUAUACUACUUACACUGUUACUAUGAAAUCUAAGUUGUUGAUCUGAUUUGUCCGAAUUUUUUUGUCCAAAUUUGAUACAGAGAAUAAAAAAAGUUUAUCCUGAUCCGAAAUUUCGAACUAAUUAUCUCUUUUUAUUUGAAUUUUGGUUAUUGUUUGGGUUUGACUAGAUCGGUCAAUCACGUUGGGUCGUAUUAUGCUAAUCCUAGUUGACUUCAAGUGUGUUGGUUUCCAUAAAAUAUUUGGUUCGAUGUUUUUUUAAUUAAGAAUAAAGAAUUAAUAAAACGCAAUUAAUUCGGGUUUAUGACAACACGGACGCGCGUUUAAUGGUGCAAUUAUUCCGUGGACUUGGUCACCACGUAAUCCCUGGACGCUUAAGAACAUCCAACCGUCCGUCCAAUAUUACAAGAAACGGACGGUGACGAUUGGUAAACAAUGAAAAUCCCGUGGACUUGGUCCACCACGUAAUCCCUGGACGCUGAAGAACAUCCAACCGUCCGUCCAAUACUACAAGAAACGGACGGUGUCGAUUGAGAAACAAUGAAAAUCGACGGACGGAUGCUCGCAAGGUCCACGGAUGACGUGGCGGGCCAGGUCGGGGGAGUUAAUUACAACGUAGUAGGAUCGGUGACGUGGCAAGGUCGUUGCUGACGUGUACGCGUGGCGCGCCGACCCGCUGCGCGCAUGGCGCGUGCGGGAACGUGCGCGGGCGCAGCGCAACACGAGCACGCGAACCCUCGGUGUGGCCGAACACCACACAGCGGUCCGACCAAUCCCAGCCCGCCACGUACGCGAAACGCCUCGCCACGUCGGAUUACGCGAUAGGUAUACGAAGAGAGGCACGUACCCAAGCACACAUCCUAUUGCGUGUAGGAUUCGGUUCGUUGCGUAUCGAAGCCCACAAAACCCCCCAACCCCCAACUUCCAAAUUAUAAAGCGUUCAACAUCGUCUCCUCCGCCCUGGCGAAGAGUAGAGAGAGAAAGCGAGAUCGAUCGAUCGACCAACCCCCCUCUCUCUCUCUCUCUCUCUCUCUCUCUCUCUCUCUCUACACCCCACAAACCCUAGUUUCCCCAUCUCCAUGGCUCUGAUGAAGCUACACGCGACGUGCCCUCCUCUAAUGGGAGGAGGCGAUCAACGAGGAGAUCAUGUCACCUCUUCCUCUUCCUCUUCUUCGAUUUCUCCUCUAUCGUUGCGUUUUUGCCGAAACCGAUCGCAUCGAUCGAUCCCUCCGCUGAGGCUUCGGCCGAUGCGGCGGAUCGAAGCAGCGCUAUCGACGGCGACGGCGACGAAGACGACGACGUCCCAAUCCUCCGCCUCAUUGUUGGGACCAAUUGCGCCCCGGUGCGUGGAUAGGGUGGAGGAGGAGAAGAGGGAGCCCGUUAGCAAUGAGGAUUUGGAUAUGUGGAUGAGGGAUUCAAUCCAAGAGGUAUUCAUUUAUUGUGAUCUACAUCGUUUUCUAAUUAUUACGAAGUGAUUUUCUUUUUCCGAGCUCUUGAUGUCGAUAGCAGUAGUGAAUAUCAACGUUUUUUUUCUGAUUCCGAUGUUGAUAUCAAUGAUAAUGCCUCGCAAUGAGUGAAUAUAAAAAAAUAUAUAUAUAUAUAUUAAAAGAAAAAAAAAAACUAAAAUGAUUGGUUGUGUUGCAGAUAGUGAGGAACAUUGGAGAGGCUCCCUUUCUGGUGCACAUCUUUUCUGGCGGCAGAGGCGGCAGCGGCCGAAAGGGCGGUGUCAGAUUGGAGAAGGAGAAGGCGUCGCCCGACAGCUGGCCGCAGAUCACGAGGCGGUGGGACCGCGAGGGCGGCACCCCGGACGGGGUCAUCCUGGUCGAGGCGAUCGAGGAGGAGGAGGACGACGAGGAGCGUGGGCCGCUGCUGCCGCCACUGACGCCGACGCCGCCGUGCGCAGCAGCAGGCCCCAAUUCGGCUUGCAAGACGUGGGGGCUGGUGGUGCAGGGGCGGGGGAUGGACUGCGCCGCCUGCUACGUGCUCAACACCUGCCGCGUCAGGUCGUCGGUCGGGUUCUGCACUCACUUCAGCCUCGUGCGGGCCAAGUGCUUCGGCGAGGCGAUCGAGUCGCAGAUCAGGAAUGCUUGGUUGCAGGGGAAUUAGAAACUGAUCGGUUUCUAUUUACAGAAGGGAAUACUAUUACUCUGUUCAUAUCAUUGCACUCAAUUGAUUCUUCCGCCAGGAACAUUGGAAUUUUAUUGAAAGCAUUUUGUUCCAUCAUUGUUCUCUUUUUUAAUGUAAAUAGUUCAAAAAACAAUGUGAUUCUCUUAUUAGAUUCUCCAGCAACCAUUUUUUACUGGUAGUUUUACAGAGAACUUUGUUCAGAAAGAAAAUAACCAGCGUACAUCUUAAAUUUCCGGCAAAGCGAUUUUUUCAUAAGUUUUUGAAUUUGAAAAACUAUCAUAAGAAAUUGGCUUUAGGAGGAAGAAUCCCCUACUGAGAAGGUCAAUAAAUAUAUUUGGCAAUUAUGCGUUCUUUGUGUCAAAAAAGCAGUUGUUCCAUUUCAACUUUGUCAAACUAUAUACCCUUCUUUAAUAUUGAAAAACACAAAUUAUUUGAAUCAUUUUAACCACCCUUUAAUGAUGUGCAUUGUGACAUCAUGUGAAUCAGAUUCGACCAUUUCUAAUGUCUGAUGCAGUGUAUCAUGAGAACCACUUUUAUCAAUUACUUGGAAUGAUAUUUGAUGUAUGUAUUCCUUGCACCGUGUCAAUCUGAGAGACAACUAGUUAAGCUAAAAUUCCUCAACCAUACACCAACAGUAUCAGAUGAAAAUGGAACUAAGACUCGCUCCAUGGUUAUCUUUUAAAGUAACUUCCUCCAGUUUAUGCUCAUUAUCUAGUAUAGCUGCUCUUCAACAGGAUCCUGAUCAUCACCGCCUUUGUUGAUCCUUGUUACGAACAUUUAGAGGCUAAGUAAUGAGAUUGCUUAAAUUUGUAACAUUGAAGCCACUGCUAUAAUUAAUUGUAGCCUUUUUUCCGUUCUUAGUAUGUUGGAUAGCGCAAGCCAAUGAGAAGAAAAUUACUGGGCAAGAUAAUAGUGUAAAUCACUUGGCUUGAGAGUGUGUUUUUCUGGUUCAAGCUAUCAGAUUCUCAUAUACCCGAAAAGCCACAAUAAUAAUGCACUCAAGUUCUCAUAAUAAACAACCCUUGGCUAUUAUUACUCUGUUCUAGUUCAAGUUUGAUCCAAAUCCACCAAUAUUCUUCUUAUCUAAAUCAGCAAGAUUGCUGCAAAGUGUGAGAUCGUCAAACUCCUGGAUGUAUUCUGCGUUGUUUUAAACUCAUAAGCCUAUCGUAAAAACUAAACUUAUAAGCUCUUAGGACAAAGUGACCACCACAUACUAAGCCCCAUCCAUUUGUUUAUCGAUCUGCCACUAAUCCUACAGGUUUGCUCCCUUCAACUUGUCGAUAACCAAACGAGCCUAUUCACCAUCUAGGAACAGAUGUUUGUCUGAGCAAUCAAACGGGGAUGAAGUCCGGUUCUCGAAGACUGUUAGACCCUUCUUCCCACACAUUUAACUCUCAUGUGAACUUAAUCAUGCCUCGAAUGUCAACAUCGACGGCGACCACGGUGAUUUACCCUAAGUUUAAAGUACAUUAUUAUAGCCAUCGUGUACCAGUGCCUAGCCUGAACCUUUGCAUGUUAUAACAAAUUUCAAAAUUUCCAAUUAUUGAUGACAUCUGUUUGAAUACCUUCCCUAGGUUCUACUCUACCGAGCAAGUUCGUAAAUGCUGGAGUUCAACUUACUGAUGUUUUGACAAGAAUAUACUGUGAUUUGUUCGCUCUUGCCAUAUACACGUUCGCUGCUCUACGAGGAAAUGAUUUGUUAAGUUCAAUGCUGAAGUUCAAUUAACUAAUGUUCAGAUCUUGCCAACAAGUUAUAGCUAAUCUAGUUUACAGUUAAUUUUUUCCCCAGUUGAAUAACCACUUGGUAUCUCUAUAGUUUACUUGGAGAUUCUUACAUUCAUCUUUUCAGAGUAAUAAGAUUACAAAGUAUGAUACUAAAGAUCCCAUAAGCAAAUUAAACAGUGAAACUGCUACAAGAAGAAAAACCAAAGAUUACCAGGGUAUAUAGUUAAAUAAGAUCCAAAGCACCUUCAACCAACAUUACUUAGCACUCAGCACAAAUGAAAAGUAAGUUAAGAACAUGAGAGCACAUCAUCCCUGAAUCACAAUAAUGUACACAGGACCGCGACAAGUUAAACACAUGCUUAGUAGUAAUCUUAACUAAGUUCACUCUCUAUGUAAAGCGAAAAAAAAACAGAAGAAGAAGAAGAAAAACUAGCACAACCUCACCUUCUCUUUCUCACUUGUCGAAGAGCAAGCUCAUGAUGCUCCGGAACAUGUGGCCGCGCUUGGUGAGCUGCUCCCGCACGGCGGCCUCCUCGGGGACGAACCCCUUCCCCUUCAAUUCAUCCAACAGCGCCCGCGCAUCGGCGAGCUUCUCCGCCGCAAUGUGGGCCUCGAACACCGCCACGACGGUGGCCACAUUGGGCCGCAUUCCUUUCGCCGCCAUCUCGACCAGAUACCGCCGCGCCUCCGCGAGGUUCCCGUCCCUCGCGAGGCCCUUGAUCAGCACGGCGUAGGUGUAGGCGUUGGGGGCGACGCCGGAGGCGAGCAUGCGGAGGAAGGCGCGGAGCGCGUGCAGCGACUGGCCGGCGCCGGCGCCGGCGUAGGCCUCGACGACGGCGGUGUGGGCGACGACGUCGGGCAUGACGCCCUUGUCCUUGAUCACGGCGAAGAGCUCGAGCGCUUCGUGGGUGAGGCCGUCCCUGGACAAUCCGUCGAACAUCUUGACUGCGUAGUCGGUGAGGCCGUCGGCGCGCAUGCGGUGGAAGACUUCCGCGAGGUCCGAGGUGUCGCGGGGAUCGCCGGCGGCGGGUUUCUUGCUGAAGGGGUCGUAGGGAGGGGGCAGCUUCGACGGCUCGUCGUCGUCGGACCAGUCGAAGGAGGCGGAGGUGUUGGUAAUGGUGGAUCGAGGUGGGGGAGAGGAGGAGGAGGAGGUGGAGGAGAAGGGGUGGAGGAAGGGACGGAGAGGAGAGAGUGGUGCUGCGGCGGAGCAGGGGCGGCGGAGGGGGGAGAAGGGGAUGGGGAAGGAGGAGAGGAGGGAGAGGAGGAGGUUGGAUUUGGAGGGGAGAGAGCGAGGUGUUAGCAGGAAUGUCGUCGUCGCCGCCAUGGAGUUUGAAGUGGAAGCGAUGGGUGGUGACAGCCGAGAAGGAAGCACGGAAGAGGAUGGAAGGCGGCGAGCAGCAAUCAGCCGGCAGCAGCCGCUGGAAAAGCACGGUUGGAUGACUGCAAAUUGGGAUACCCAGAUUAGGCAUGUCUUAAAUAAACUUUUUCCGUAUAAAUAUUUUAUUGUUAAUUUUAAAACUGGCGUGUUGAUAGCUUGAUAUCGUAUGUAAUUAUGUUCACUUAUUUAAGCUUCUUAAGUAUUCAAACUCGAGAGAAAUCAUAAAAAAACCAUUCACCCCUGAAAAUUUAAUCAUUGUCAAUGUUAAAUAAUCUCGUCCCUUAAAAAAUUAACAAAAAUUUUAAAUGAUCGGCACGAGACUAAAGAUAGAUUCGACAUUGUCCAAUCAUUUUUAUUUCGCAGAAGAAAAGGUACAAAAUUAAUUUUAUAAUUAAAGCUAAAAUUUAUAUAGAGUAUCUAAUCAGUCAUUUAUCAAUCUUUAAUACUGUACAUCCCUUAAUUAUAGAAUUUAAAUUUUGUAAAGUUUUUUAAUAUUAGAAAAAGAUAGUUGAUAAGAUAAAUAUAACAUAUUAGUUAUUAGAAGAAAAUGUCCAAGAUUAAUAUAAAUUUUUUUGUUGUUGUACACAAGCGUUACUUCAUAAUUUUUAUUUCAAUCUAAUCAAUCUCCUUAUGUGAUAAACAAUGAAUUAGAUUGCCUUUUUAUGAAAAAGCUUUUCGGAUAAUAUAUACAGCUUGUGACGUGCGUCUAUUCAGAGAGUUACCUAUCUUAAAAUUACUUUAUUUUUAUCACGUUUAAUUCUAUUAAUCUUUUAGUGGGUUAGAUCUUUACAUAUCUCUAAUUGGGCUGGGCCAAAUUUGGAUAUAUUCAGACUUUCGGCCGGGCGAAUUGUUUAUGGGUUGGACUUUUUUUAUGUCUAUCGCAAGUCAAAACAUGGUCCAAAAAAUCACUGGACCACGUCUGAUUAAAAUGUAACUUCUUAAUUCGAGCUAAGUCAACCAAAAAUAAAAGAAGUAAAGAAAAGUAAACGAUGAGUACCUCGUAAGUUUUUUUUUUUUUAUUUAUUUUUUUUUUUGACCUUUUAGGAGGAUGAAUACUUUAAACUUUGAAAAUUUUAAGUAAACAACAUAUCACUUUAUAGCCUUUUAUUUAGUUCCCAAAUAAUAAAUUUAUUAUAAUUAUAAUUAUAAUAUAAUACGGAGGAUAAGUAUAUUAUAUUAUUUUUCAUAUGUGAUGGAAAACAUCAAUAAUUCAUUAGCAAAGAUAUAUAAAUGCGAAGCCUACUUGCUUCACUUUUUAGUUAAAUCUUUUUUUUUCUCUCAACUAAAUUGGUAAUCUGCUUCUACAUUAUUUUUAAUGGACUAUGUCUAUUUAUGAACAAAAUAUUCAAACCCAUGAUACAGAGAGUAUAUCAACUAUCUCGGAAUCUAUACUAUUUUUAUAAAUUUAUUCAUAUUUCUUACAAUUUUUAAUUAAUUUAUAUAAAAAUAUAAAAAAGAGAUAGUUAUAUAUCACUUCCUGCAAAGAUAUCAAAUAACAAAUAUAUUUCUACAAAGCUUAAGUUAUUAUCAGAUUUAUACCUGCAAAAUUUUUUCCGUCUAUAAAUGUAUUCUUCAUUUACCAAAAUUUAGAUAACUAUGAGUUAAAAAAGCUAACAUAGUUAUUUAAGGGGUAAAAUAACUUUUUUAACUUAUAUAUAUAUAUAUAUAUAUAUAUAUAUAUAUAUAUAUAUNAUGUCGUUUGAUUCACCGUUAAUUUUUUAACGAUGGAUGCAUAAAAUAACUAUUUUACUCUUAUAAGUUUAUUCUUGCAAAAAGUUUUUUUUCUCUCUCUCUCCUCGCAUUUUUUGCAGUACAUGCGACGUAUCUCAUGUUUAUCUCGCCGUCACCAUGUAUAAAGAGGAGAGGAUGAGAAAGAUAACUUGACUCAAUAUUGAAAUACAAAUUAUAAAUGUAAGGGAUAAAAAGUUUAUUUUACUUCUUAACUAACCGUGGUUAUAUUUUUUAAUUUAUAGUUAUCUAAAUUUUGCUGACAGAAUGAUAUAUUUACAGACGGAACGAUUUUUAGAGAAAUAAAUAUGAUAACUUAAGUGUGGUCGGAAUAUACUUGUUAUCCCUUACAUUUAUAAUUUGUAUUUCAAUAUUGAGUCCUGUCAUCUUUCUCACAUUUUCCUCUUUAUCUAUAGUGACGGCAAGAUCUAUAGCGGCGGCGUCAAGGAUAUAUGCGAACGAAUUAGAAUUUUUAGAUGAAUAUAUUUAUAAAUUAUUUUUUGGCUAAUUUGCAUAAAAAAUUUACUAAUUUUGGGCUUUUGUAAAAGUUGGCCACCUUUUUUCUUUUUGCAGAUUUGAUCCGAUUUUUCAGCAAAAUGACUAAAAUACCAUUGUAUCUUUUUCUCUCUCCUCUUUUUUUUUUUUUUUCUCUNUGCUCCGGCGACGUCGCUAACGACGAGCCCGCCUACCCCGCCUCGGCCUCUCCCCCAACCUUUCCUCCUACCGCGCCCUUGCCCAGGCCCUCUGCCGCCGCGGCCAGGCCCGCUUCGCCGCCGCGGCCAGGCCCGCUUCGCCGCCUCCCUAUUCGACGACAUGCUCCGCUGCGGCCUCCUUUUUCUUUCUCCUUCUCCGUCGGCGCGCCAACGCAAGACGACGACGGAGGGAUGCAGACUCGGCCCGGAGCCAGUCGAAGUCGCGGGAGAGGAGCGCGGAGAGGUAGGUGGCGCCGCCCCGCGCGGCACUCAAGUGUCGCACACCCGAGCCAGCCUUCUCGAGUCCUCUCCACGGAUAAGUCUCCCAGACUUAACAGUAGAAUACCAAUCCAAGCAUUUUGCCAAGCUUGCUCCUCUGUGAGACUUAUAGCCCGACCCUUCGCCUGUAAUCGAACCCCUCGUCGGAUUCCUCGAGUUCUCAACGAGCAACCCCAAUACCGAGGUUGGCCAUCAAGCUAGGUGCAUCUCGUCUUGCCAACCGAUCUCUCCUCGAGAGUGCUUCAUAACCGAAUGUCUUGCUACCUUCAUCACUAGCCCCAAGGACAUUACAAGUUCUCCCCCAACUUGUGCCAUAUGACUAUAGCCAAGCGUCUCGCCUCCCACGCGUUUUGCUCCUGCGACUUAGUCUGCACGCCUCUAGCGUCAAGGUCCGGGCUUCGCAACAUCGCAUGCCACGAAGGGCACUCAUAACCAUAUAUUUCUCACUAUCGUGCCUCAUGCGCCUGAUAACGUCCAUGGCCAUACCGCAUACGCGGCUUGCUCGCUCGGUCCAACGGCAUAUAUCCGAAAAGCCACCCAAGUGUGCGCCACAACCUCGCCUGUCUUCCAAUGCCAGGGACUAGGCGUGACACCCCGCACGCCCAUGCUUCGCACUUCCGUGCUUCGAAUCCAACCCGUACUGCUCUCGUGUCCUAACGCUCCUGGCAAGGGAACCAAUAAGUCCACACCGUGCUUCUCGAUCGUCCACUCAACUCUCGCUUUGCCAUGGCGCUCCGCGCUCUUGACUCCCAUAUGUUCGCCUCAUAAGGGCCGAUACAAACGAACCGGUCUCACUCCGCAUCGCUAGCCACUAGCCCCGUCCUUAGCCCGACCAUGCCUGGCCGCUCACACCAUUGGUCCAGUCUAUCAAGGUUCACGAUAUAGAUACCGAUACUGCUUGUCUCAUUGGGUUCCGCCCCUCGAGUCUCGUAGACCUCCCGUCAUACGAAUUCUCCUUCGGCGUGCCUCCCUUUAGCACUCCUAUUGAGUUCCGCCUCCUUGGCCUUCGUGGGCGCCGCGCCCCAUGAAUCCCCGCUAAGCACACUUGCCUUCGCGAGCCUUGUCCUUUACAGAGGACCAUCCGUCGCUAGACUAUCCCUCAUCCGCUCGUACGCUCCACUACGGAGAUCCAAGCCGGCAUAAGAUAGCGCAAGCGAUCUUAGGAGGAAAGCCUCCCGGUAUUCCCCGCUCUGUAAUGGCGUCGACCUCUCGCGUCUCCGACAUUACCCUAGGCCCGUGUCUCUUCAACCGUCCAAUACCCGAUCACACGGAACGCUAGGCUUGGCUACUCAGCUAGCGAAGGGACGACCCAUGUCUUCUGGGUCGACGGGGGAGUCGGGGCCACUUACGAAGUGUCCACCCCUCCUCUAUAUACCCUACAAGGCAUCCAUCCAUUUGGCACCCCGGGGGUACAAAGGUGCUCACCGAGGGGUAAGUUUUGAAACCCCGCAUGCGGCACCAAAAUCCUAGUCAUGGCACGGGCCAUUGCUAGGGAAUUGCCUCUGUUGACUGGACAACGACUCCAUCCUGAUGGAACGCCUCAACUCCGCAACUCCAUAACUUCGUCAACCUAAGUGCCUACCACAUGUGGCCCCCAAGGAUGUCACGGUCGAAUCCCAGCGAUCGACCCGUGACAAUGGGGCGAGCUUGCGGUUCUCAGUGCGGAGGCGCGCGAGGCGGCUCCAAAGCUUCUCGAGGUAGAAGAAGGAGGAAGAAAAAAAAAGAGAAUAAACCGAGGGAAAGAAGGAGGAAGAAAAAAAAAAAAGAGAAUAAACCGAGGGAAAGAAGGAGGAAGAAAACAAAAGAGAAUAAACCAAGGGAAAGAAGGAGGAAGAAGAAGAGAAUAAAAAAUGGUGUAAAUUUCAUCCAAAUAGUGCAACGUUAGUCUAAAAAGUAUAAUUUUUUCAUCCGAAAUGGUGUAAAUUUUACCCAAAUAGUGCAACGUUCACCUAAAGAGUGCAACUUCGUCCCAAAGAGUAUAAAUUCUGUCUCAAAUAGUGUAAAUUUUAUAUAAAAUAGUGCAAUUUUUUUAAAAAUUACACACUUUAAGACAGAACUGCACUGUUUAGGUGAAAUUUACACUAUUUCUCUUUUUUUUUUUACUUCUUCCUCCUCUCCCUCCUCUUUCAAUUUUCGCCUUGUACAAGAACCCCAACCAUGGCUCGUCCUAUCCCACCAGCCUUAUCGCAGCAUCACUCCCCACCCACUCGGCCUCAGAAUUCGUGCUUGCUACAAAGCGGUCAUGGGAAGUGGCGGAGGAAAAAUGGCGCUCGCCGUGGUACUCUUCAUGUUGGGGAGCGUUGAGGUGAGCGCGCGGGCGAGGGCGGCGCCGGAGAAGGAGGAGGGGGCUGGCGGUGGGUUUGGCCAUGGCAUGGGUGGCUGUAUUGGUGGCGGGAUUGGGUCAGCUUGAUCGGCCGCGGUGGAGCAUGUCGUCGAGCAAGGAGGCGGCGAAGCGGGCCUGGCCGCGGCAGCAGAGGGCCUGGCUGAGGGCGCGGUAGGAGGAGGGGUCGGGGGAGAGGCCGAGGCGGGGGAGGCGGGCUCGUCGCCGACGACGUCGCAGGAGUCGGCGAGGGCGACAUCGCAGGGGCAGGGGGGUGGCGUUUCUGCCUUCGCCGCUCUCUGGGAAGAGAAAGAAAAAAAGAACGAGAGAAAAAAAAAAGAGGAGAGAGAAAAAUGUAUAAGGGUAUUUUGAUCAGUUUGCUAAAAAAUCGGACCGAAUCUGUAAAAACGAAAAAGGUGGCCCACUUUUGUAAAAACCCAAAUUUAGUGAAUUUUUUAUGCAAAUUGGCCUUAUUUUUUUAAAAAAAAAUUCAAAUAUCACUCAUAUGGUUUCACAUUUUCGCACUUAAAUACCUUAUGGUUUAAAGUGUAUCACUUUCGCACCCCGUAAUUUUUUUCUCUUUUUGUUAUCACUUUCGCUAAUUUUUUUAUUAAAUCAAUGACAAAGUAAAAACUAAAAAGUAUUAAAGUGAAUAUUCAAUAAACUAGUGGUGGGGUAUCUAAAGUUUUUUUUGUAUAUGAUUUAAUAAAAAGCAGAGGAGUUGACGAAAAGAGAAAAAUAAAACCACAGAGUAUUAAAUUGAUACACUUUAAAUCAUAGGAUAUUAAAAUGAGAAAUUGCAAAACUAUAGAAAUAAUAUUUGAAGUUUAUUCUAAAAAAUAUAUUUAUAAUUUAUAUGAAUAUGUAUAAAAUUAAUUUUAAUAAAAACUUAUCCAAAUGUUACAGCACGUGAAAGUUAGCACACGUGAAGGUAGAUUCAGGAGUAAUCAGUUUUUGACGGAAACAACUCAAACACGAGUACACGACUAUGAGCCCGUGCGCGGGACCACGACGGGGUUCGACCAAAUCCAAAACCGAGGGGACCGAGGCCACCGACGUCAGCAUGCCACGUGGGAUAAUAUCCUCGCACGUAAACUCAACCGGACGGGUGCCACGCGUCGCCUCCUCAUUGCGUUUUGAUUGCCGCUCAGGGGGAUUACUCCCAACUUCGACAUGGUUAGCGUGAAACUAAUUUUGCCCACUCCGAUAAUUAAUUAGUUAAAUAAAUGUAUAGUUUUCGCUUUCUUGUUGACUUGUUCCCAUUAAUUAAUAAGCUUUUUAAAUAAAUUUUUUAAUUUUAAUUAAUAAAUAGUUAAAACAAAAAUGCUCAGUGGUUGAAUAGUGAGCGAGAAUCGGGUUCUUCGCCCGUCCCCCCUCAUCGUCUCUAACCUCCCCGCAACGUGUCCACACCCCUCUCUCUCUCUCUCUCUCUCUCUCUCUCUCUACACCACCAUCACCACCACCUCCGCUUCUUCUCGCUCUAGAAACCCUAGUUGCUUCGUCCUCGAUCGCGUCGGUGGUAUAUGCCUCAGAGAGAAGAGGCGAGAACGAACGGAAGAGGAGGAGAUGGGGAUGGGGAUCGAAGGGGCUCUCCAUCGCCUCGCAUCGCCGAGGAUGAGGCGGAGGAGGCGGAGGCGGAGGAGGAGGAGGAGGAGGAUCGGAGCCGCCGUAAGAGGACGAUCGGAAGGGCCGUGCGAAGCCUCUCGAGGAAGAUUUACGGCCGGAGGAGGAGGAAGGAGAAGCGAGCUCAACCACCGCCGGCGCCGGCACCGGCGCCGCCGCCUCGGUGGUCCGCCCCUCCCGAUAUCGGCGGAGAUGGCGGAUAUAGGUGCUCAUCGUGCCUCUGCUUCAAUCCCAAUCCCAGCCGAUACCCUCCCGAUUCCCCACUCAUCGCGCCGAACCCUAGCGGCGACGAUCCCAAGGUAACGAAGAAACCCACCACUUACCACGAAUUCGUGAGGUCUCUGCUCGAGAGCAACGAUUUCUACUCCAGAGAUUGCAAUGUCCACCGAGACAUCACCUCCGACUCCGAUGAUCCCUGAUCGGUUUGAGCCGAAUUUUAUCAUCCGAUUCUAUGGUUUUGCCUUUUGGUUCAUAUGCAGAGAAUUUGAUUUGUUGCGAGUAUUGUGUGGGUACAGAUAAAUUGAUAGAUUGUGGAAAGAGAUCCUGCUUUUGCCUAUUAUUCGGCAUCGAACAGAGCAUCCAAAUCCCUCCUUUUCUACAAUUGAGGAAUUUAUAGGCUUUGUUGCGGAAGAACUGUGAGAUUUGAUCAGCACUUGUGGCAUGUUGAUGCUUAUCUGUAGCAUUGACGCCAAUUGUCCAACAGUUUGUGAGUAAAUAAAGCUCUGUAUAUUUGUGAUUUUGUAUUCUCUUCUGUUAAUGUUUCUAUGGAAAGGUGUAAAGAUUUUGUGGCCCUCCAUAUUGGAACAUGAUUCUUUCAAAAUUAGUGAUUUUAUCUUGCAGUACCUGUUGUUGUCAUUUAUUUUGAUUAAACAAUCUCCAAAUUGUUGUGCAAAUGCAUUGUUAAAGCAGAUAAAGAUGCAAUCCCUAUUUUACUGUAUCAUAUUAUGUUCUCGUCAGUGUUGAAAAGGUGCUUAAGAUGCCUUUCUGCAAUUACCACAUCGUUUUGUUGUGAAAUCAGUGGAUUAUCCUUUACAUUUGAGCAAACCUGGUGUUAAGUCGUUCGUUGAAUUUAAUUUCUGAAAAAAAAUCAAAGCUUGAAGCUUUGUUAUCGCAUAUUUAACUGCUGGACUUGGCGUGAUAUGUUAUGAAAGAAGAUUCUCUCAAGAUUUAUCAAGGGGCACCCAUAUGAAGUCCUAUGAUGAUCUCAUCAAGACAAGGAGUGUUUGAUGCAAUCCAUGUAUAUGGUAUACGUUUCAAGUAAGUUGACCUUGGUGGGAGGUUAAACACAGGUACUUCGGCGGCGGUGAUAAGUUUUCCUGCCUCUGCUUCAACCACUGUCAAUGCCCUCCAGAUUCCCUACUCAUCCUCUCGCUGAGCGACAACACUGAUAACUAUUUCUGCUCUUUGAAUUGCAAUGUCCACCAAGAUAUCACAUCCGAGACAGGUGAGGUGUGAUCUGAAUUUAGUUUUAUCCAGUUAUAUAGGUUUGUCUGUUGAUUUGCGGAUAGAGCAUUUGAUUUCAUCCUAGGAUGAUGAAUUGACGGCUUGUGCUUGAUGAUUUCCAUUCUGAGCCAUUGGCUUUUCGUCAUUUGGCUGCAACAGAGAGGAUGCAAACCAUUUGCACUCCUCUUCUGUGAAAUUAAGGGAGUAGUGGAAGACCUACGAGACAUGAUCAGGAAUUAGGCAUGUUGAUGCUCCUUUGUAUCAGUGACGCCAAUUUUUCACUUUGUAAAUACGAAAGCCAUGUAUAUCUCAGCCUAUAUAUUCUCUUUUGUUAAUGUUUGAUGGGUAAUAAAAAAGAAUUUCAUGUCUUCCAUAUUUCAAAAUUGAUUUUUGCAAGCUAUCUGCCUUUUUUAUCUUGUGACAUUUAUUUCUAUGAUGCUGCUGUAUCUUGGUCAUUCUGUAGAUAUCAUAUUUUUCCUUUUAAGUCUCUCAAUUGCCAUUAGCUAUUGGCCUUCAUUGAGUAAACAAUCUCCAAACUGUUGCAACAACAAAGGCAGUGUUGCGACAGUCACUUUUUUGCCAAUAUUCUAGUUUCUCAUAAGGUGUGUCUAGCUAAAGUGUAUCUACAUCACUUGAUCUAUGUUCCUCUUUGGAAACAUGUAAUUUUAAUCUAUAUUAUUGCCAUGUUGAUUACUCUUCUCCUUUUUAUUACAGAUUGCUGUUUUCUGAGGGAGAACUGUGUGAAGAACUCUACAUUCUCUGGUGAGAUAAAACUGAGUUUUAAUAUUAACGAGUCAUUCUAUCUAAAGCUUGUAUUCUGUCUCUUCCUUAUGUUUUGUUCAUGGUAAUCUCCACAAAGAAUACAUCAUCUUGCUAGAAGCUGUUGGCCUUCAAUAUGCUGCUUUCUCAUUGUAUAUGCCGCUAAAUCAUAGACUUUUUAAUUGAUCUGGCAAAUUCACAUGCUCCUGACAUUAGUGAAAACCCAUAGUCGCAUAACUAACAAGUCAUGCCUCAUCCUGGAAUGGGUUUACAACUUUGAUACUCCUUACAAUAAGGGAGGCCUUCCACCUCCGUGAGAAUUCCAGUAACACUAACAUUGUAAUAAAUGAAUAGUAGUAUAAUACUCGAGUGUUUCUUCAAAACUUUGGAAUAAAUUCAACUGAGGAAUAUUCUAAUUAUCCAGUUUUGUGGUGCACUGGUGCAAAUAGAGUAACUUGUUUUGUUGGGUGAGCAUACAUUUUAACAUACAUAUACAUCACUGUUUUUUUAUUAGGACAGGACAACUGACUUAAUUAUGUUAUUUGCAGAUGAAAUAUUCUAUCAAACCUUAAAAUCAGCAUGAACUGGGGAUGUUUUCAUCAUAUUUGGGCCUAUGGGUUUCCAGAGGUGUCUCAUUAUCAAACUAAAAUGUAGUCAGUUAGUAGAAAAAGAUUGGUGUGAUUUUAUUUGACUUUGAUUGUAGAAGCAGAGUAAAUAUAUUUGAGAGUUGUUAAAUAUUUGAAUGAUUUUGUCUAACUUUGGAUUUAAUUUGGGUUUACUUUGCUCUUUAUAUCGGAUUUAGUCCUUUGAAUGUGAAAUUUGAAUUAUACGGGUUAAUCGAGCUACUCUGUCUACAAGUAACUUCAGCCUAGCAAAACCUUUCCUAACACCUCUCUAGAAGCCUUGCCGUGCUGCAGAAACAAUAGUUGUUUCCCCUCUUUCAGCGGGAAACCCCUGGGCUGCUCAUCAAUCUCUGAUACAUACGAAAUUUAUUAAGAUUAGGAGAUCCAAGGACUGAAUGAAUAGUAGAUUGGAUAAAGAACAAGCACAGGAAGAGAGAGUCAACAUGAUUAUUCAUUUCAGCUCGUCAAUGAUUAUUCAGGGAAAACUUCAAAAACCCCCCUUGUGGUUUCAAUUUUUUUCACUUUAGUACCCUGUGGUUUAAAAUGUAUCAAGUUAGUACCUUGUGGUUUCUCACUUUAUCACUUUAGUACCCUGUGGUUUAAAGUGUAUCAAGUUAGUACCCUGUGGUUUUGCAUUUUAUCACUUUAGUACUUUGUGGUUUUGAUUUUGUAUCAAAUUAGUACCCUGUGGUUUUUUAAACUAUAGGGUACUAAAGUGAUAAAGUGUGAAACCACAGGGUACUAACUUGAUAUACUUUAAACCACAGGGUACUAAAGUGAUAAAGUGAGAAAUCACAGGGUACUAACUUGAUACACUUUAAACCACAGGGUACUAAAGUGAUAAAGUGAGAAACCACAGGGUACUAACUUGAUAUACUUUAAACCACAGGGUACUAAAAUGAAAAAGUGUGAAACCACGGAGGGGGUUUUUGAAGUUUUCCCUUAUAUUUAUAUCUCUCUCUCUCUUGAUCUUUACUUUUUUCAUCUCUCACUUCAAAUUUACCAAACAUGUUCAUGCUCGUUAUAAAUUAUCAAUCGAAAAUAGAGUGGAUUAUCUCCUCAAUCCACACACCAAUAUUUCAUAAACUACAACUAUGUAAAGUACUAAUAAAUUGAGUAAUAUACUUAAGUAAACAUUGUCACACCUCAUCCACUGCUCUUUUUUUUUUUUCAGUAUAUGAGAUUGCUUUAGUUUUUCAAUUAAUUACCAAGUAGAACGCAGAUUUGAACGGCUACUUAUUUGAUUAAUGGCGGGAACGGUCGGUAGCAACCGGCGUGUCGGGAACAUCAUACUGAUCGGCCACGUCCUCCACUGCUGUGGAGGUCUCCGCCGCAGCGGCGGCAGCUGCGGUGGGGUCAUACUGCUUGAUCACGACGACGGACGCCGUCGUGGAGAACUCCGACGACGCGAGGUAGCUCCCGACGGGCCCGAGCUCCGGCGUGUCGCUCCGGUCCGUCAAUGACAUGCACGCCGGCGACUGCCCCACAACGAAGAGGUUGAACCGCCUGACCGCCUUCACGGCCGCCACGAUCUCCGCCCUGCUGCCCACUGCCACCUCCUCGUACUUGAUGGACUCGUUGGCCGCCGCCGCCGGCUUGGCCCUGAAUUCGGCGAGGAACGCCUCGUCUGCCGCCUGGUCGUCGGCGUCAACGCCGAUCCCGACACUUCCAUUGCUGCCGUCCUCGAGCAGAUUGGACCGGCCGGGCGGGGGGAUGAACCGCACUACGGUGAGCGCGAUCCCUGGGUGCUCGGCCAUGCGGGCCCCGUAGGAGAGCGCCUCACGGUCGUCGCAGCCCCCGAAGAAGAGCACGGCCACGGUGCAGGAGACCUCGCUGGCGGAGACCUGCGCAGCGCCACCGAGGCCGCGGUCGACGAGCACGGCGACGGAGCAGGGGGCGUGGCGGAGCACGCGCUGGUUGACGUGCUGGUAGUCGCCGCCGAGCGUCUCCAUGGCGCCGUCGAGCCGCUGGAGCUUGUGGAAGGGCAGGACAAUGAGUGCAGCGCGCUUCUGCUGCGCGCUGGUGACGACGUCCUCGUGGAUGGUGUGCAGGUCAGAUAUGGCCGUCAUCGGGCGCACGGACACGUUGCUGAGCUGGCCAUAGGCCUGGAAGGCGACGACGAGCUGGUCGCCGCCCUCGUCGGACCGACGCUUGUUCCAGAAGGGGAGCCCGUUGCGGCGCGCCUUGUGGACCAUGGAGAUUGCCGAGGACCGCUCCGAGAGCUCCAUGAGGUGCAUGGCGUAGACGGUGAGGCCGCGGCGGCGCAUGCCGCGCGAGGACUCGACGAGGUUGAUGAUGGCGGGGAUGUUGCGGCUGCCGUGGAAGCAGGCGAGCACGCGGAGCUCGGCGCCAUCUGCGUCCUCGUUGCAGCGCUGCACUGUGCGGUGGUGCUUGCGGCCGGAGGCGGCACGGCGUGCGGGCUUGUAGACUGCGGUGACGAGGGGCGUGGUAAUGAAGGUGGUGAAGAGCGCCAUGAGGACGAGGAUGGCGAAGGUCUCGUCGUUGAGCACCUUGCGGUCCUUGCCGAUGUUGAGCACGAUGAGCUCGACGAGGCCCUUGGUGUUCAUGAGGAAGCCGAGCGUGACGGCCUCGUGAGCGGGCACUUUCAGGGCGAGGGAGACGAGCACAGUGCCGCCGACCUUGCCGAGGCAGGCGGUGGCGAUCACGAGCACGAGCAGGCCCCAGGACUGCCCACCGCGGAUGGUGGCGACGUUGGUCUUGAGGCCGCUGGAGGCGAAGUAGAGUGGGAGGAGGAGGCCGGAGAUGAGGUCCUCCACCUUCUCGGUGAGCACGGCGGCGAAGGGCCCGUCCUUGGGGAUGACCACGCCGACCACGAAUGCACCGAAGAGCGCGUGGAUGCCGAUGGUGUCGGUGGCGAACCCGGCGGCGAGCACGGCGGCGAGCGUGGCGCAGAUGUAGGUCUCCUUGACGGGCUCGCCAUCGGGGGAGCGGCGGGCCAUCCAGGCAAGGACGGGCCGCACGGCGAGGGCUACGAGGGCGACGAAGGCGGCGGCGGAGAGGAGCACCCAGAGGGAGACGAGCGGGGAACCGGAGCCGGAGAGUGCGAUGGCGAGGGCGAGGAGGAUCCAGGCGGCGAUGUCGUUGACGGCGGCCGCGGACAUGGCCAUGCGGCCGAGGUCGGUGGUGAGGAGCUUGAGCUCGGCGAGGAUGCGGGCGAGCACGGGGAAGGCGGUGAUGGAGAGGGCGACGCCCAUGAAGACGAGGAAGGGCCCCUCGCGCACGCCCUGGGAGAUGGUGGCGCGAAGCACGAAGGACGUGCCGAUGCCGAGGGCGAAGGGCAGCGAGAUGCCGGCCAGCGCGAUGGCCAGGGCUUGCCGGCCCGUGCGGCGGAGUGCGCGCAGGUCGAGCUCCAGCCCCACCAGGAACAGGAAGAACAGCAGCCCCACGUUCGCCAGUGUGUCCAGCACUGUCAGGCUCUGCUUCGGGAACACCGUCUCCAGGAACCUGCUGCUCCGCCCCAGCGCCGACGGCCCCAGCAGAAUCCCCCCCUGCAGUGGCAAUUGCAGUUGCAAUUCAUUCAUUCACUCAUUCAUUCAUUCAUCUUACCAAGAAACAAAAAGAAGGAGAACCCAACAACAACAACAACCAACAACCAACAACCAACAACGGCAACGGCUAUCACACAGGUUUGAAAAACAGUUACGAUACAUUAUAUCACACACACCCUUUACAUGAACAAGCAAGCAGAUAAAAUAUGUUGUGUUUCAAAUUGGAGACAUAUAUGUACAUAUGCCGUAUGCGUCAGUGGAAAACUCCAAUUAGCUUAGCACAUUCUUAAAAUAAAGGUAAAAAGUUGCAUAAUUUGUUUUGCUUAUGAAUCAUUCUAAAUUGACUAUCUAAUCUUUCAAAAUUUGAAAUAUUAGAUAAUUAACUCAAAAUGAUUCAUAGUUCAAAUAAGUUAUGUAAAGUUGUACCUAAAUUAAAAUUUAAUACAAGAAACAAAUGUAUAUGGCCCUUUUGAGUAAUGCUGCUCUUAUAUAAUGUUUAUAUACUCUUGUAUAAACAAUAUAUAUGAGUUUUUUAUUGGCUUAUGAACAUAGGUUAAAGCGUUUAUAUGAUCAUUGAGCCAAUGAUCAUAUUAGAGCAUAAACAAAAACUUAAUAUAGUGUUUUCCCUUUUGGCCACAUUUAAUAUUUGAUGACCAAUGUUUUAAACCUAACCUACAAUAUCCAGGAAACCUAUAAUAUAUAAUGGAAAUGGAAAUUAUAAUAUUUAAUAUCUAUUACGGGUAAGAUAAAAAAAUUUAUAUAUAAACAAAGAACUAUCGGUUGAUUUGAUUUGUAUCAGUGUUCAGAAUUUAUCAUUUUAAUUGUUAAGAACAUACCCAACAAACUAAAUUCUUAUUUUGGAAUAAUAGAUUAUGCCCCCUAAUCGGAAACAAUACGUAAAAAACAAAAAUUUGGCGAGUUUUUCCCAGGAAAGAAAAGUCAAAAACAAUAUAGAAUUUUUAACUUUUUAAAAUUUAAGUAUUUUGAAAGAAUUAAGGGGGUGUUUGAUGAUUUUCCCAAAAAAAUUUUCUAGCUUAGAAAAACUAUUUUUUUCUGGAAAAAAAGUUAGAUUUUAUAAAAAAAUUCGUUUAGAAAAUGAAAAAUCAAACAUCCUCUAAACAAGUUAUAGAUUCUCACGCUUCUCCGAGGAAUCAAGUAUAGGGUAAAGCAUUUAUCAGAGAAAAAGACAAAAAAUAAAGGGUUAAAUGCAUACAGGUCCCUGCAAAUAUAGUCAAUUGCGAAAAUAUCCCUACAAAACGGAAACUUCAUAAGUUAUCCCUGUAAAAGUCUAAAGUUAUGCAGAUAUGUCCCUGCCGUUAAGGACUGUUAGAAAAUUUUUAUUAACCACGGUUAAAGUACUUAACCAUGGUUAAUUAUAACGUAAAUUUACGAUUCUACCCUUCUUCUUCUUCCCCCUCUUCUUCUUCCCUCUUCUUCGUCGCCGGCGAGGGCGGCGGCGGCAGCGGCGGCGGCGGCAGCUACGACGGCGGCGACGGCAAAUCCUCUCUCUUUCUUUUCCUCCUUCUUCCUCUCCCUCUUCCCUUUUCUCCCUUCUUCUUCCUCUUCCUUUUCCUCUUCCCUCUUCUUCAUCGCCGGCGAGGGAGAAGAUCCGACGGCGGCAGCGAAUCCUCUCCCUCUCCCUCUUCUUCUUCCUCUUCCUCUUUCUCUUUCUUUUCCUUUUCCUCUUCCUCUUCCUCUUCCCUCUUCUUCGUCGCCGGCGAGGGAGGAGAUGCGGCGGCGGCGCGCGGCGAUGAACCCUUUCCCUCUUCAUCUUACUCUUCCUUCUUCCUCUCCCUCUUCCUCUCCUUCUUCCUCUUCCUUUUUUUUCUUCCUCUCAUUCUUUCUCUUCCCUCUUCUUCGUCGCCGGCGAGCUCAACCCGCGCCGUCGCCGCCAUCCGCUCCGGCGGCCCGAAGAGGAAGAGGAAGAGGAAGAGGAAGAGGAAGAGAAAGAGAAUGGGAAGAUGCUUUUGGAGGGAUAUAUUUGUGAGGGCAAAAUGGUCAUUUCACAUGAAAACUUUUAAAAAAUAAACAGUUCUCUAACAGAUGUUAAUCAGAGGGACAUAUCUGCAUAAAUUAGGACUUUUGCAGGGACAACUUAUGGAGUUUCCGUUUUGCAGGAAUAUUUCCGCAAAUCACUAUGUUUGCAGGGACGUAUAUGCAAAUAACCCAAAAAUAAAUUAGCGGAAGUACACUUCAAUAUGAUACGGAUAGUUUCAUGUUAUUUGUUAUUCUACUACUUUAGUAUCUGUCGUAUGAUGGCAACGUAUAUAAUGACAGAUGGAAUAAUACGUAUAGAUACUAAAGUAGUAGAAUAACAAAUAGAAUAGGGUUAUAUAGGGUUGCUUUAACAUGAAACUAUCCAUAUCAUAUUGAAGUGUACUUCCACUAAUUUCUUUUUUGUCUUUUUCUCUGAUAAAUGCUUUACCCCAUACUUGAUUCCUCGGAGAAGCGUGAGAAUCUAUAACUUGUUUAGAGGAUGUUUGAUUUUUCAUUUUCUGAACAAAAUUUUUUAUAAAAUCUAACUUUUUUUUUCAGAAAAAAAUAAUUUUUCUAAGGGUGUGUUUGGUUCCAUAUAAAACUGUAGAAAAAAAUUUUUCAGUGAAAAAAUUUUUCGGUGGAAAAAUGGUUUUACAUCGUUAGUGUUUGGAUAGUAGGAAAAGAAAAAUAAUUUUUCAUAGCGGUUGUUUGAUUGGAAAAAAAAAAACGAUUUAAUAUUUUUUAUUAUAUAUUAUUAAUAUAUAAUAAUUAAUAUAUUUUAUAUANCAAACAUCCCUGCACAUACGUUUAUUGAUACAUAUUAUAUCUCUCUCUCUCUCUCUCAUAGUGAAUUGCAGAAAUAUCCCUGCAAAACGGAAACUCCAUAAGUUAUUCCUGCAAAAGUCUAAAGUUAUGCAGAUAUGUCCCUGCCGUUAAGGACUGUUAGAAAAUUUUCGUUAACCACGGUUAAAGUACUUAACCAUUGUUAAUUAUAAUGUGAAUUUACGGUUCUACCCUUCUUCUUCUUCCUCCUCUUCUUCUUCCCUCUUUUUCGUCGCCGGCGAGGGCGGCGGCGGCAGCGACGGCGGCGACGAUGGUGAACCCUUUCUCUUUCUUUUCCUCCUUCUUCCUCUCCCUCCUCUUCCCUUUUCUCCCUUCUUCUUCCUCUCCCUCUUCCUCUUCCCUUUUCUUCAUCGCCGGCGAGGGAGAAGAUGCGACGGCGGCGGCGAACCCUCUCCCUCUCCCUCUUCUUCUUCCUCUCCCUCUUUCUUUUCCUCUUCCUCUUCCUCUUCCCUCUUCUUCGUCAUCGGCGAGGGAGGAGAUGCGGCGGCGGCGAGCGACGACGAACCCUUUCCCUAUUCAUCUUUUUCUUCCCUCUUCCUCUCCCUCUUCCUCUUCCCUUUUUUUCUUCCUCUCAUUCUUUCUCUUCCCUCUUCUUCGUCGCCGGCGAGCUCGACCCGCGUCGUCGCCACCAUCCGCUCCGGUGGCCCGAAGAGGAAGAGGAAGAGAAAGAGAAGGGGAAGAUGAUACUUUUGGAGGGAUAUAUUUGUGAGGGCAAAAUGGUCAUUUCACAAGAAAAACAGUUUUCUAACAGAUGUUAAUCAGAGGGACAUAUCUGCAUAAAUUAGGACUUUUGUAGGGACAACUUAUGGAAUUUCCGUUUUAUAGGGAUAUUUCCGCAAUUCACUAUAUUUGCAGGGACGUGUAUGCAAAUAACCCUAUUUAUAAAUAUGUAUAAUAAUUUUUUACCAUCUUAUAUAUAUAUAUAUAUAGAUAUAUAGAAUUAAGCUCCUAUGCUUUUAAAAGUACAAGUCAUUGGUACUUGUAAGUUUUCGGCUCUUGGAUUAAGGGAUGUGCGGUUAUGAUGAUGUGAGCCCCCUAGGGUUGAGUGGGUAGUUGGUUGAAUAGUAUACUUUAACGGUUGAAAAUGAUCAAAGACGUAGAUCUAACGGUAAAAAACUUACAAGUACCAAGUGCUUGGUGCUUUUACAAGCACCAUAGCCGGACUAUAUAUAUAUAUAUAUAAAGAGAGAGAGAGAGAGAGAGAGAGAGUCCGGUUACUAUGCUAUCGGUAGCAUGGAGCGCCCCGUGUUACCAAGUUGUUUUCGAUGAUGCGGCUUCCAAAUCGACGAUCGGCUCUGUUAGACUUGAUCUACACUAUUGAAAGUAUUUGGAAACUAAAUUUCAGAUUUUUUCGACAUUAUUUGAUUAGUGAUCAAAAGAUCUCAAAAUUGACAAUUUUAAUGGCCGAUGUGGUGUGUUUGUGAGUUUAACGAUGUAAAACAAUCCAAAUGCGAUGAGAAUUUUAUAGAAAAUUCUUUUCACUAUUUAGAGUAAAAUCAGUAUACCUGAUCUUGAAUUAAAAUCUUUUAUCAUCAUUUUUCAUGAGAUUUUUAUUUUCAGCCAUUCAAUUUUAGACUACUUGUUUGAUAGGUAAAUGAUAUCGAAAAAUUAUGAAAUUUAGUUUCUAAAUAUUUUUAAUAGUGUAGAUCAAGUCUAGCGGAGCCGAUCGUCGAUUUGAAAGUCGCAUCAUCGAAAACAACUUGGUAGCACGGAGCGCUCCGUGCUACCGAUAGUAUAGUAGCCUAGUUAUAUAUAUAUAUAUAGAGUUGGACUUGGCUAUUAUUAGUAGCAAAAUCCCAUUGUUGCUACCAGAUUUUUAGCCUUUGGAUCAACUCUUUUCAUUAUUUCUAACCAUUGGAUUAAAUAUUAUAACCUAGUGGGGACCACUCAACCCUAGGGGGACCACUCAACUCUAACCGACUAAUAUCAUCCUAAUCAUACAAUUUUUCAUCCAAGGAUUAAAAAAUUAAUAGUAAAAAAAGCGUUUUACUAUAUAUAUAUAUAUAUAUAUAUAUAUAUAUAUAUAAUAUAUAUAUAUAAAAAAGAGAG
rnacentral:lncRNA from 1 species